CGGUUCAGAGCAUGUAGUUUACCCAUUUUGAUUAUUUUUACUUUGUGAAAGGUUUUAGGAGAUAAGUUACAUUUCUUUUAGUAUUUUUUUCCUAUAAUAGAAAGAAUCUUAAUUACUGAAAAUAUUCACACUUGUAAAUUAAAGGUAAACAUAAACUGAAAGUGUCAAUACAACAUCAAAUUAUGGCCUCUACUAUGUGAGUGUCUCUUUGAA
rnacentral:lncRNA from 1 species